AGCCUGAUGCAGCGACGCCGCGUGCGGGAUGGAGGCCUUCGAGUUGUAAACCGCUUUUAUAGGGGGGCAAGCUAUGCCUGUGUGGUGUGGUGAGUGGACUUUAUGAAUAAGCACCGGCUAACUACGUGCCAGCAGCCGCGGUAAUACGUAGGGUGCAAGCGUUGUCCGGAUUUAUUGGGCGUAAAGGGCUCGUAGGCGGUUUGUUGCGUCUGGUGUGAAAGCUUACUGCUUAACGGUAGGUUGCGCUGGAUACGGGCAGGCUUGAGUGCAGUAGGGGAGACUGGAAUUCUCGGUGUAACGGUGGAAUGUGUAGAUAUCGGGAAGAACACCUAUGGCGAAGGCAGGUCUCUGGGCUGUUACUGACGCUGAGGAGCGAAAGCGUGGGGAGCGAACAGGAUUAGAUACCCUGGUAGUCCAUGCUGUAAACGGUGGACGCUGGAUGUGGGGCCCAUUUCCACGGGUUUUGUGUCGGAGCUAACGCGUUAAGCGUCCCGCCUGGGGAGUACGGCCGCAAGGUUAAAACUCAAAGAAAUUGACGGGGGCCCGCACAAGCGGCGGAGCAUGCGGAUUAAUUCGAUGCAACGCGAAGAACCUUACCAGGGCUUGACAUAACCUGGAUGAUGCCAGAGAUGGUGUGUCC
rnacentral:rRNA from 1 species